AAAGAAAACAACAAACAUCAAAGGUCACGUUUUAAGUUUACAUCAUCCCAUCUUCCACAUUUGAACAUCUGCCUGCUAGACUGGCCAAGUCAGAAUCCACCAAUAUUCAGAAUACCAGAACUUGGGCUUCCUAGUAGGGACAGGUGCUGGAAUGAAUUCUGUGCUAAUGGGAACUCCUGAACUACUGGG